rnacentral:rRNA from 1 species
CCUACGGGGAGCAGCAGUGGGGGAUAUUGCACAAUGGGGGGAACCCUGAUGCAGCGACGCCGCGUGGGUGAAGGAGUGCUUCGGCAUGUAAAGCACUAUCGGCAGGGAAGAAGCAAGACGGUACCUGACUAAGAAGCCCCGGCUAAAUACGUGCCAGCAGCCGCGGUAAUACGUAGGGGGCGAGCGUUAUCCGGAUUCACGGGGUGUAAAGGGAGCGUAGACGGCCAUGCAAGCCAGGGGUGAAAGCCCGGGGCCCAACCCCGGGACUGCCCUUGGAACUGGGCGGCUAGAGUGCGGGAGGGGCAGGCGGAAUUCCUGGUGUAGCGGUGAAAUGCGUAGAGAUCAGGAGGAACACCGGCGGCGAAGGCGGCCUGCUGGACUGCGACUGACGUUGAGGCUCGAAAGCGUGGGGAGCGAACAGGAUUAGAUACCCGAGUAGUC